GACGAACGCUGGCGGCGUGCUUAACACAUGCAAGUCGAACGGAAAGGCCCUGCUUUUGUGGGGUGCUCGAGUGGCGAACGGGUGAGUAACACGUGAGCAACCUGCCCUUGACUUUGGGAUAACUUCAGGAAACUGGGGCUAAUACCGGAUAGGAGCUCCUGCUGCAUGGUGGGGGUUGGAAAGUUUCGGCGGUUGGGGAUGGACUCGCGGCUUAUCAGCUUGUUGGUGGGGUAGUGGCUUACCAAGGCUUUGACGGGUAGCCGGCCUGAGAGGGUGACCGGCCACAUUGGGACUGAGAUACGGCCCAGACUCCUACGGGAGGCAGCAGUGGGGAAUAUUGCACAAUGGGCGGAAGCCUGAUGCAGCAACGCCGCGUGCGGGAUGACGGCCUUCGGGUUGUAAACCGCUUUCGCCUGUGACGAAGCGUGAGUGACGGUAAUGGGUAAAGAAGCACCGGCUAACAACGUG
rnacentral:rRNA from 1 species